UACGUAGGGCGCAAGCGUUUGUCCGGAAUUAUUGGGCGUAAAGAGCUCGUAGGUGGUUUGUCGCGUCUGCCGUGAAAGCCCGGGGCUUAACUCCGGGUCUGCGGUGGAUACGGGCAGACUAGAGGCAGGUAGGGGAGAACGGAAUUCCCGGUGUAGCGGUGAAAUGCGUAGAUAUCAUUUGGAACGCCAAUGGUGAAAACAGGUUGCUGGGAGUAUGCUGACGCUGAGACACGAAAGCCAGGGGAGCGAACGGG
rnacentral:rRNA from 1 species